GAGAAACUGUGUUCUUUUUUGGUACUUUAUGUCAUGAGGGCUUGGCAAAGGGUUCCCAACAGAGUUCGUUGGCAUUCUGUUCACCUCCGACCGGUCUUCAUCUCGAAACUCCUCCCAACAAGUGAAACAAAACGAGGGGGAAAGAAGAAAGAUUCUUCAUCAAGUCUCUCUUGUGAUCUCUUGGAGGUGGGCAUGGUGCCAACUGGGCUCUGUUAGGCUCUCUCUGUGAAACCCUUCAUGAAUCAUUUCUCCAUGUUAUUACAUCAGCUGACCUUCUUCGAGCUUUUUGAUAGAGUGGGAAACGAGGGCUUAAAUGAAGCUGUUGACACGUCUCGUGCAUGGGGUGACUGGAAAGAAGAAGAAGAAGAAGAAGAAGAAGAAGAAGAAGAUGAAUUCAUAAAGUGAUGACAGUCGAUCCUUCGAUCUGUCCACUGGAAAUCCUAGUUCGUCCUGCCCCAUUUCUUCGCUGUUCCUGGAAAACUAGAGUUAAAAUCCCCGGCUUCUUUCCCAGCAAAAG